rnacentral:rRNA from 1 species
GCUUCCAGCUUGCUGGGGUGGAUUUAGUGGCGAACGGGUGAGUAACACGUGAGUAACCUGCCCUUGACUCUGGGAUAAGCCUUGGAAACGGGGUCUAAUACCGGAUAGGAGCAUUCACCGCAUGGUGGGUGUUGGAAAGAAUUUCGGUCUUGGAUGGACUCGCGGCCCAUCAGCUUGUUGGUGAGGUAAUGGCUCACCAAGGCGACGACGGGUAGCCGGCCUGAGAGGGUGACCGGCCACACUGGGACUGAGACACGGCCCAGACUCCUACGGGAGGCAGCAGUGGGGAAUAUUGCACAAUGGGCGCAAGCCUGAUGCAGCGACGCCGCGUGAGGGAUGACGGCCUUCGGGUUGUAAACCUCUUUCAGUAGGGAAGAAGCGAAAGUGACGGUACCUGCAGAAGAAGCACCGGCUAACUACGUGCCAGCAGCCGCGGUAAUACGUAGGGUGCGAGCGUUAUCCGGAAUUAUUGGGCGUAAAGAGCUCGUAGGCGGUUUGUCGCGUCUGCCGUGAAAGUCCGGGGCUUAACUCCGGAUCUGCGGUGGGUACGGGCAGACUAGAGUGCAGUAGGGGAGACUGGAAUUCCUGGUGUAGCGGUGGAAUGCGCAGAUAUCAGGAGGAACACCGAUGGCGAAGGCAGGUCUCUGGGCUGUAACUGACGCUGAGGAGCGAAAGCAUGGGGAGCGAACAGGAUUAGAUACCCUGGUAGUCCAUGCCGUAAACGUUGGGCACUAGGUGUGGGGGCCAUUCCACGGUUUCCGCGCCGCAGCUAACGCAUUAAGUGCCCCGCCUGGGGAGUACGGCCGCAAGGCUAAAACU